GACGAGGUGGCUGAGUGGUUAAGGCGAUAGACUGCUAAUCCAUUGAACUCUGCCCGCGUGGGUUAGAAUCCCAUCCUCGUCG
rnacentral:tRNA from 1 species